AGAGUUUGAUCCUGGCUCAGGAUGAACGCUAGCGAUAGGCUUAACACAUGCAAGUCGAGGGGCAUCACGAAUUAGCAAUAGUUUGGUGGCGACCGGCGCACGGGUGCGUAACACGUAUACAACCUACCUUCAAUUGGGGAAUAACCUGGAGAAAUUUGGACUAAUACCCCAUAGUAAACGGGAGAGGCAUCUUUUUUGUUUUAAAGAUUUAUUGAUUGGAGAUGGGUAUGCGUAGGAUUAGCUAGUUGGUAAGGUAACGGCUUACCAAGGCAACGAUCCUUAGGGGUUCUGAGAGGAAGGUCCCCCACACUGGUACUGAGACACGGACCAGACUCCUACGGGAGGCAGCAGUGAGGAAUAUUGGUCAAUGGGCGAGAGCCUGAACCAGCCAAGUCGCGUGAAGGAUGACUGUCUUAUGGAUUGUAAACUUCUUUUGUAGGGGAAUAAAGAAUGGUACGUGUACCAUAGUGAAUGUACCCUACGAAUAAGCAUCGGCUAACUCCGUGCCAGCAGCCGCGGUAAUACGGAGGAUGCGAGCGUUAUCCGGAAUCAUUGGGUUUAAAGGGUCCGUAGGCGGGCUAAUAAGUCAGAGGUGAAAGCGCUCAGCUCAACUGAGCAACUGCCUUUGAAACUGUUAGUCUUGAAUGGUUGUGAAGUAGUUGGAAUGUGUAGUGUAGCGGUGAAAUGCUUAGAUAUUACACAGAACACCGAUAGCGAAGGCAUAUUACUAACAAUUAAUUGACGCUGAUGGACGAAAGCGUGGGGAGCGAACAGGAUUAGAUACCCUGGUAGUCCACGCUGUAAACGAUGGAUACUAGCUGUUUGGAGCAAUCUGAGUGGCUAAGCGAAAGUGAUAAGUAUCCCACCUGGGGAGUACGUUCGCAAGAAUGAAACUCAAAGGAAUUGACGGGGGCCCGCACAAGCGG
rnacentral:rRNA from 1 species